GAGGCCUGAGGUACAUUACAUAAUUGCAGAACAGGGGUUUUGAAAGUCUUUUUGAAAUAUGAGUAAACGUUUAAGAUACAAUAAAUGCGAAAUAUAUGCGAAGCAAAGUUGUUCCAUUUAUGGUAUGGCAGGUAGAGAGAACCGAAUCAGACCAUCAACUUCUGGAGACCUUCAAAACCCUGUUCCUGGGCCUAAUGGAGGUGUCUCAGGAGAAGGAAGAGCAGGCACAUAGACAGGCCUCCGUGCGGAUGGGACAGCGUGCAGGGAGCCAAGAUCCUUCUCGCCUGGAUCCUAUGGCACAAUUAAGGAGAAGGGAGAGAAAAGGGCAAAUUAUGGACUUGAUUCCAGUGACGAGGAAAAAAAAGCUGGAAACUUUCAAGCAGAUGUACAUCCUGGACAUCAGAGACCUUGAAGCUCUAGUUAAACGCAAGAGGAGGGACCAUGAUAGAUGGCUCAUGGAAAUGGAUUGGCAGGAGAUGGGAAAGGAUGCAAUCCCUGUGGCUGAGGAAGGAGAGGAGAUGAUGACUGAAGAGGAUCAGCUCCGCACAGAAAGAGGGACGGAGAGAGCACAGACAAAGAGAGAAAGUGAGAAACGGAUGGAGAGAGCACAGAGAGACAGUGUCAUUGAGAGGUGGCUGGAGGGAGUAGAGAGAGAGAGUGACAUGGAGAGCUGGCUGGAGGGAGUAGAGAGAGAGCGUGACAUGGAGAGCUGGCUGACGGGAGUACACAGAGAGAGGAACAGAGAGGACAGGAACAUUGAGGACAGGAACAUUGAAGAGAGGAACAUUGAGUACAGGAACAUUGAGGACAGGAACAUUGAGGACAGCAGAGGUAAUGACGAAGAGGUAGAAAUUGACAUGCUGCCUCCAGGAAGCACCAACAGUGUGACUGAGAUCACUGUCCUAUCACCAUCAGAGAUCAUUCAAAUCAAGGAGAGCCUCAGACAGAGUGGCCUAACCCAGGAAUUGCAGUAUUGUGUUCUGACCACUGAGAUGAAACUGAAAAUGCUGAAAGAACUUGAAAACGAUGCAAAGACCUAUCACAAAAUGGAAAAAGACAAUCUGGAAUUAAAUAAGAAAAUGUUAGAAACCGUCCAAAAAACUAAGAAAUCAAUGUUCUCAAUCUUGAAAAGGAAGACAAAAGAAGAGGUAGAAAUUGACCGGGGUCAGAAGAGAGUUGAAAAGGAACUGAAACUAGAGACAGCCAAUCUAAAUGCAUGCUUAAAAAAGUACAAAAAGAACCUGGAAGAGUUGGAAAAACAUGAAAAUCAGAUUCAGAAGAUUCUCAUGAAGCAACAAAAGGAGGAAGAGAAACUCAAACUUGCACAGCAGAAACAGUUAGAAAAGGAAGAGGAGAAGGAGCUGACCGAGGAGAGAAAAGAGAAAAAGGAAGUGAUUAUGAAAGUAUAUAGGAGAGAGAAAUGGAGGAAAAGGGCUGGGAAAACUCAUAAAAUGGAAGUGAAAAAGGAAAACAAGAUAUUAAAGAUACUGCGUAAAAAUGAUGAAAGAAAGUGCAAAAGACACAAGAGGUGGACCAAAAGAAUCAACAAAUGUAGGAAAAUAAAAAACAAAAUACGUUCAGCGCCAGGACGUGUUUGCAGAGCGGUGUUCAAGUUUUUCAGUCCGAGUUUUGGAAAGCAAGUAGACAAAAAGUUGAAGGAGCAACAAAAGGCGGAAUUGAUCAGGCAGCGAUACGACAGCAAUAACAUUCAUUGGGGAGCUGAGGAGACGGCGAAGCAGAGGGAGGAGACAGUGGAGGAGGAGAAAAGACUCCUGGAAGAGAGGCGGAAAGUGUGUGCUGCUGAACUGGAGGCGUAUGCGUGGAGCAGUCAAGUGCGGGCUGAGCUGUCCAGGGUGAGGGCCAGCAACAGCCGCAUCAAUGUAAGAGAAGAUGACGGCUCAACAAGCAGCAGUGAGUCAGAAAUAAGUGGUGAAGAAGAAGCAAGGCUGUAACACAAGGGAGUUCCCAGGAGGAGAGUAUGGCUUCACAGGAACUGCUGCCAUCAAAUACUUUUCUAUGUAUGGUUUGUAUGAAAAGUGCCAGGACAUAAUAAAAAAAAACAUACAAAAGCUUUUAACAUUUCAGCUGUGCUUUUAUUUUACAUUUGACCACAAGGUGAACACAAGCUAAUGUACAUUUACAUGAAUGCAUUUAGCAGAUACUUUUAUCCAAGGCGUCUUACAGUACAGUGCAAGGGUUGUAAAAGUAGGGGAGGAAGGAAAGCGAAUUUUGGUGAGUUGUUAGGAAGGGCAAAGGCUGGCAUGUUAAACCCAGCCAUAUUUAAACCAGAAAUAAGGAGUUUUGGUUUAAAACUAGUGAGCUAUCCAAAUUACCUAAAAGGCA
ensembl:lncRNA